rnacentral:rRNA from 1 species
CCUACGGGCGGCAGCAGUGGGGAAUAUUGGACAAUAGGGGGAACCCUGAUCCAGCCAUGCCGCGUGUGUGAAGAAGGCCCUCGGGUUGUAAAGCACUUUCAGUGAGGAAGAACGCCUGGUGGUUAAUACCCAUCAGGAAAGACAUCACCCACAGAAGAAGCACCGGCUAACUCCGUGCCAGCAGCCGCGGUAAUACGGAGGGUGCGAGCGUUAAUCGGAAUUACUGGGCGUAAAGCGCGCGUAGGUGGCUUGAUAAGCCGGUUGUGAAAGCCCCGGGCUCAACCUGGGAACGGCAUCCGGAACUGUCAAGCUAGAGUGCAGGAGAGGAAGGUAGAAUUCCCGGUGUAGCGGUGAAAUGCGUAGAGAUCGGGAGGAAUACCAGUGGCGAAGGCGGCCUUCUGGACUGACACUGACACUGAGGUGCGAAAGCGUGGGUAGCAAACAGGAUUAGAUACCCCAGUAGUC